rnacentral:rRNA from 1 species
ACGCUGGCGGCAGGCCUAACACAUGCAAGUCGAGCGGUAGAGAGAAGCUUGCUUCUCUUGAGAGCGGCGGACGGGUGAGUAAUGCCUAGGAAUCUGCCUGGUAGUGGGGGAUAACGUUCGGAAACGGACGCUAAUACCGCAUACGUCCUACGGGAGAAAGCAGGGGACCUUCGGGCCUUGCGCUAUCAGAUGAGCCUAGGUCGGAUUAGCUAGUUGGUGAGGUAAUGGCUCACCAAGGCGACGAUCCGUAACUGGUCUGAGAGGAUGAUCAGUCACACUGGAACUGAGACACGGUCCAGACUCCUACGGGAGGCAGCAGUGGGGAAUAUUGGACAAUGGGCGAAAGCCUGAUCCAGCCAUGCCGCGUGUGUGAAGAAGGUCUUCGGAUUGUAAAGCACUUUAAGUUGGGAGGAAGGGUUGUAGAUUAAUACUCUGCAAUUUUGACGUUACCGACAGAAUAAGCACCGGCUAACUCUGUGCCAGCAGCCGCGGUAAUACAGAGGGUGCAAGCGUUAAUCGGAAUUACUGGGCGUAAAGCGCGCGUAGGUGGUUUGUUAAGUUGGAUGUGAAAUCCCCGGGCUCAACCUGGGAACUGCAUUCAAAACUGACUGACUAGAGUAUGGUAGAGGGUGGUGGAAUUUCCUGUGUAGCGGUGAAAUGCGUAGAUAUAGGAAGGAACACCAGUGGCGAAGGCGACCACCUGGACUAAUACUGACACUGAGG